UAAACCAUGACGUCAGGUUCGUGGGUUUUGUUUGUGGUUUCAGGAAAACGGUGCGUAUCGAGAAGGGAGUUCAGCUCAGAAAAGAAAACCCAACAGAAACCGGACUUAGAGAAAUGAAAUGGUGAGAGGACGCAUUAAACUUCUCAAGGAUGCUGCUGGGUCUGGACUCAGCAAGACCCUCUCUGAGAUACUCGUCUGCCCGCUUUCCAAACAACCUCUAAGGUUAUUGGCUUGUUUGUGGGUUAUUUGGUAGGUUUUGUGAGGACACUAAUUCCCUAAUUAGUGAUGCAAUUGGUGUCUCCUUUCCUUUGAGUUCCAAGUGUAAUUUUGAAGCAGCAAUUGAGUUUUUUUUUUCUUUCUUUUUCCUCCUAGUUUGCUCUGAAGUAUCAAUCACUGAACAUGAACGAUUGAUAGAGAUAAAGGAUGGGAUUCCUUGCUUAGUACCAACAGAUGGGAAGACCCUCGAGGCCGAUGGUACAAUAAAACCUGAAGAUGCUGUGAAAUCAUCAGUCGAACAUGAGGCAGAUCAAGGAGGCAGUCAUUAGGUUGAAUUUUGAGACUCAUGGUAUUGUCACAAAGAGAUGGAUGGAAGGUCACAUCACUAACUUUUCUUAAAGUGAAUUCUUAUUCCAUUUGUGAGCAAGUGCUUGAGGAAUUCAUGAAUGGCUUUUUACGCGAUUCCUUUCAAAUGAUUCUGUGCUUUAUGAUCUGAGAGGAAUUCUGCUAGGGAUGUUCUUUGAGAUUUUUUCCAAGAUGAAAAAUUAGACUAGGAGCUUUCAUGAAUUUUAUAGUUUGGUUGAAUA